rnacentral:rRNA from 1 species
GACGAACGCUGGCGGCGUGCUUAACACAUGCAAGUCGAACGAUGAAGCCCAGCUUGCUGGGUGGAUUAGUGGCGAACGGGUGAGUAACACGUGGGCAACCUGCCCCAAACUCUGGGAUAACUCCUCGAAAGAGGUGCUAAUACCGGAUACGAACUAGACAGACAUCUGUACCAGUUGGAAAGUUUUUCGGUUUGGGAUGGGCCCGCGGCCUAUCAGCUUGUUGGUGAGGUAACGGCUCACCAAGGCUACGACAGGUAACCGGGCUGAGAGGGCGACCGGUCACACUGGGACUGAGACACGGCCCAGACUCCUACGGGAGGCAGCAGUGGGGAAUAUUGCGCAAUGGGCGAAAGCCUGACGCAGCGACGCCGCGUGAGGGAUGAAGGUCUUCGGAUCGUAAACCUCUUUCAGUAGGGACGAAGCGAAAGUGACGGUACCUAAAGAAGAAGCACCGGCUAACUACGUGCCAGCCGCCGCGGUAA